rnacentral:rRNA from 1 species
CCCCCCCUCUAAAUUUUAACUAAAAUAUUUUAACAAUUUAGUAAAGAAGAUUAAAAAACUUUUAAGCGCUAUAAACCUGUACCGCAAGGGAAAGAUGAAAUAAAAAUGAAAUAAAUUUCAAGCCCAAAAAAGUAGAGACCCACCCUCGUACCUUUUGCAUCAUGGUUUAGCUAGUCUAAUUAGGCAAAAAGACUUUAAGUCCAACCCCCCGAAACUAAGUGAGCUAUCUUAGGGCCGCUUAAUGAGCCCACCCGUCUAUGUUGCAAAAUAGUGGGGUGACCCUAAAAUAGAGGUGACAGACCUAACGAACUUAGUAAUAGCUGGUUUCUCAAGAAAAGAAUUUUAGUCCAACCUAAAGUAACACUAAAUCACAUAAUUAUACCCCGUACUUUAGAGCAAUUCAAAUGAGGUACAGCCCGUUUGAUCUAGGACCCAACCUUUACCAAUGGGUAACACCCAACCUUCACUUACAAGUAGGCCUAAGAGCAGCCACCUUUUAAAAAGCGUCAAAGCUUAACUAUGUGCACCUUAAUCCGUAAACCCCCAUCGAACCCUUUAACCGUACUGAGAACUUCUAUAGCAUUAUAGAACCUUUUAUGCUAAAACUAGUAACAAGAGGCAACCCCUCUCCUAAUGCAAAUGUAAGCCAGCAUGAACCCAUCACUGGCAACUAACAGACCUAAGUAAAAGUAGUAACCCUCCCCCAGAAAACCCUACUUCCCCCACCGUUAACCUAACACUAGAGCAUUUCAAGAAAGAUUUAAAGAAAAAGAAGGAACUCGGCAAACAUUAGCCUCGCCUGUUUACCAAAAACAUCGCCUCUUGCCUCCCCCCUAAGAGGUCCAGCCUGCCCAGUGACUUUGUUCAACGGCCGCGGUAUCCUAACCGUGCGAAGGUAGCGUAAUCACUUGUCUUCUAAAUAAAGACCAGUAUGAAAGGCAUCACGAGGGCUAAGCUGUCUCCUCUUUCUAAUCAGUGAACCUAAUCUCCCCGUGAAGAAGCGGGGAUCCCACUAUA